rnacentral:rRNA from 1 species
UACGGAGGGUGCAAGCGUUAUCCGGAUUCACUGGGUUUAAGGGUGCGUAGGUGGGCAGGUAAGUCGAGUGGUGAAAUCCCCGAGCUUAACUUGGGAACUGCCAUUGAUACUAUUUGUCUUGAAUACUGUGGAGGUUAGCGGAAUAUGUCAUGUAGCGGUGAAAUGCUUAGAUAUGACAUAGAACAUCAAUUGCGAAGGCAGCUGGCUACACGAAAUAUUGACACUGAUGCACGAAAGCGUGGGGAUCAAACAGG